AAUGCACCAAUUUGUAAGUCGCUCCUGAUAAGAGCGUCUGCUAAAUGACGUAAA
rfam:Salmo salar isolate Sally breed double haploid chromosome ssa01, whole genome shotgun sequence.